GGAUUAGAUACCCUGGUAGUCCACGCCGUAAACGAUGCACACUGGAUUUGGGGAUCUCUGACGAUUUCCGAGUCGAAGCGAAAGCGAUAAGUGUGCCGCCUGGGGACUACGGCCGCAAGGCUAAAACUCAAAGGAAUUGACGGGGGCUCACACAAGCGGUGGAGCAUGUGGCUUAAUUCGAAACAACGCGAAGAACCUUACCCAGGUUUGACAUGCUUGGAUGCUACCCGGGGAUAACUCGGGAUGCUGCCCUUCGGGGUGAAACUUGCACAGGUGUUGCAUGGCUGUCGUCAGCUCGUGCCG
rnacentral:rRNA from 1 species